CCUACGGGAGGCAGCAGUGAGGAAUAUUGGUCAAUGGACGAGAGUCUGAACCAGCCAAGUAGCGUGAAGGAUGACUGCCCUAUGGGUUGUAAACUUCUUUUAUAUGGGAAUAAAACGUUCCACGUGUGGGAUUUUGUAUGUACCAUAUGAAUAAGGAUCGGCUAACUCCGUGCCAGCAGCCGCGGUAAUACGGAGGAUCCGAGCGUUAUCCGGAUUUAUUGGGUUUAAAGGGAGCGUAGGUGGAUUGUUAAGUCAGUUGUGAAAGUUUGCGGCUCAACCGUAGAAUUGCAGUUGAAACUGGCAGUCUUGAGUACAGUAGAGGUAGGCGGAAUGCGUGGUGUAGCGGUGAAAUGCUUAGAUAUCACGAAGAACUCCGAUUGCGAAGGCAGUUCACUGGACUGAAACUGACACUGAGGCUCGAAAGUGUGGGUAUCAAACAGGAUUAGAUACCCGUGUAGUC
rnacentral:rRNA from 1 species